GAAGGCAACAUGCGAGGGAGAAACGUGGUGUGUUGGAGCUUUGAAAUAACCUUCCAUGUUUGUCAUGCUGCCCUCUGUAGCUACGGUCAUCAUUAUACAAUGGCGCCACAGGAGCACAGAUACAGCAAAGGCAGUAAGAAUGACUGUGCCCCAGUGCACAAAGCAAAGCUCCAUAAAGACAUGGCUGGAGGGGUU